AUUGAACGCUGGCGGCAUGCCUUACACAUGCAAGUCAAACUGUAACAGGUCUUCGGAUGCUGACGAGUGGCGAACGGGUGAGUAAUACAUCGGAACGUGCCCGAGAGUGGGGGAUAACGAAGCGAAAGCUUUGCUAAUACAGCAUACGAUCUCAGGAUGAAAGCAGGGGACCGCAAGGCCUUGCGCUCACGGAGCGGCCGAUGGCAGAUUAGGUAGUUGGUGGGAUAAAAGCUUACCAAGCCGACGAUCUGUAGCUGGUCUGAGACGACGACCAGCCACACUGGGACGGAGACACGGCCCAGACUCCGACGGGAGGCAGCAGUGGGGAAUUUUGGACAAUGGGCGCAAGCCUGAUCCAGCAAUGCCGCGUGCAGGAUGAAGGCCUUCCGGUUGUAAACUGCUUUUGUACGGAACGAAAAGACUCCUUCUAAUAAAGGGGGUCCAUGACGGUACCGUAAGAAUACGCACCGGCUAACUACGUGCCAGCCGCCGCGGUAAAAC
rnacentral:rRNA from 1 species